ACGUUUAUGUGAUUCUAAAUACCACUCUCAGCUCAGAAGAACAGAACCAGCUGUGGCAAGCAGUUCGAGAAAAAGCUGAUCACAGACAUAAGAUUCGACACCGACAGAAAAUCACUGCUGAAGACUGAGAAGACUCAGGGCCAGCAGCCCCCAUUGUGGGUGUCCAUCUCAGAGUCCAAGUUCCACUAAAACUCUCAGUCUGACAUACGUGCAUUCAACAGUGAAGUUGUCCUGGCUAAAACACCUGGCACCAGAGUCUACCUGGACAUCAACCUUCAUCCUGUCGACUCCCCGAGGCUCCAGUUCAGUACCCUCUGCCAGCAGGAAGUAGUUAAAGAGAGAAAUCUUUGCCCCUUUUCAUAAUAAUAAUCAUAAGACGGGAUAUGAAAGGGUUUUGGCCCAGAUAGGACACUGUAGCCAGAAAAGCCACAACUGGAAGCAUAAAGCCCCAUCUUCCAUGCCCCUAGGAAGUUACCUGUGAUGCCAUCUUCCCACCCCUGGAAAUUUACAUAUGGCGCCAAACCUAGGACCAAUGGGCUACCUGUGCAUCCCUAAUGCAUGCCUUAGGUUCCACCCCAAACUGAGGCUAUUUACAGGCCCCCACACCACGUGUCCACCAGGGAGAGCGCCGGACGCCAGCGGUGGGGGUGCCGGUCAUCUCUCUCCAUGUUCUCAGAUUAAAGGCCACUUUUUAUUUUAUAUUUCUCAUCUUUUGUUAAUAUUUUUCAUCUUUUGGAAAUAACCCUAGCAGGCAUCAUAAUGAAUCCCACUAUCUUCACAGCUGUUGCCUAAACUUUCAAACCUGGUACUAUCAAGCAAAACAGAAUAGAGGAACAUCAGUCAAAACAAGAUUGUGAGAGCAAUACAGGGCUUUAAAUCAAGA